GGGGAGGGUCAGCAAAGUUUCAGGAAGAAAGUGGCAUUGGAACAGGGCCUUGAAGUGCUGGAAGGGAAUCCAAGCCGAAUAGGUCUAUAGACAAGCUGUUGAAGCAAGGUAGCAGCAUAAAGAUCCGUGCAUUUCGUGACUAUUUUCAUCCUGGGUUCUCAAGUGAACAGCAGCACAGCAGCAAGAGGAAUGACUCAGGCCCUCGGCCAAAUGACUCAAUGAAUUCAGUCACACUGGCCUUCCCAACAGUCUAGAAAUCACAGCACAAUUGCAGGCAAAGCCCAUCCGGUAAUGAAGACCGCUGCCUGUGAAGUAUUUCAAAAUCAUUUCCACAUCCUUCCACCUCUGAUGUCAAUUUCAAGUUCUGUAGCCAAGCUUCAGCUUCUUCCUAUUCGCAUCCUCUCCAAUGCCAGCUCAAGGUGAGAAGAAUCUCUCGCCCACCCAGACACUAGGCUUAUUUGCCUCUAGAGCUUUUUAUCAAGAACACGAUUAUAAUAAAAUGUCCACUGUUAGCUCCCAAAGUUUAAGAUUUCUCUUAAACUUAGCCAAAGAGUCCACUAAGCAACUAUUUUUCUCUUGCUUCAUGCGGUUCUCUUCCCUGCUGCCAUGAGCACUGCUUGCCCUGUGGCCAUGGUUCCCUCCAUAACAUAUAGAGCUUCAGCCCUCACCUGCUUUCCAGGGCACGGAG